CAUUAGAGGGCACCAGAGAGCAAGCCCUAUCACCCCUUCGCACAACUUCCCACAGAAGCCCUCCUAGCUUCCAGCUUCGCCAUGCUCUGUAAUUCCUUCUCUCAGGGUUCCUGAGCAGAAGGGAAAAUGAGCUUAAACAUGAGGCUUGGAGGAGAAAGAAGGGCUGGGGAGAAAUAUGAAUGUCUAUUAGAAUCAUCCAGAGCAUGGAUUGGACUGAUGCUGAAGCUCCAGUACUUUGGCCACCUGAUGAGAAGAGCUGACUCCCUGGAAGAGACCCUGAUGCUUUGAAAGAUUGAGGGCAAGAGGAAAAGGGGGUGACAGAGGAUGAGAUAGUUGGAUGGCAUCACAGACUCAAUGGACAUGAGUUUAAGCAAACUCCGGGAGAUAGUCAAGGACAGGGGAGCCUGAUGUGCUGCAGCCCAUGGGGUCACAAAGAGUUGGACAUGACUGAGUGACUGAACAACAACAACAACGCACACAGAUUGGGAAAGUCCCAAAUUUCAAUCAUCUCUAUGGAAUGGCCUUGAAACAGCAAUGCUCAUGACUACUUAUGAAAUAUCUUCUGUGACAGACAGAUAAUAGACACUCCACCCAUCCUGUCUUAUAAAAAGUAUCUUAUUAUAAAAUGACAAACAUAUAGAAAACAAGAAUAUUAUAAAACCAUGGG
rnacentral:lncRNA from 1 species